GCCGACCGCUGGCGGGGUGCUUAACCCAUGCAAGCCGAACGGGAUCCGGGCUUUGUGGUUUGGGGAGAGUGGGGAACGGGUGAGUUACCCGUGAGUAACCCGCCCCCUUCUUUGGGAUAACGUCCGGAAAUCGGCGCCAAUACUGGAUAUUCUUCCUGCAUCGCAUGGUGUGGUUUGGAAAGGGUUUCUGGUGGGGGAUGGGCUCGCGGCCUAUCAGCUUGUUGGUGGGGUGAUGGCCUACCAAGGCUUUGACGGGUAGCCGGCCUGAGAGGGUGUCCGGGCACACGGGAACUGAGACACGGCGCAGACUCCUACGCGAGGCCGCAGUGGGGAGUAUUGCACGAUGAGCGCAAGCCUGAUGCAGCGAGGCCGCGUGAGGGAUGACGGCCUUCGGGUGGUAGACCUCUUUCAGUAUGGAACAAGGAUCCUUCUUUUGGGGGGUUUGAGGGUACGUGCAGAAGAAGCGCCGGCUAACUACGUG
rnacentral:rRNA from 1 species